UAAUCAAAUAGAGAUAAAUCCAUCCGUUCAGAGCCGACACAAUGGGAGACGGACAGCAAGUGGAGCGCUCAAGCUCCGUAGACCCCAUAGUGUGGCCGAGAGUGGGGCAAGGACAAAGGGAAGGAGAAGAUCUGUCCAGCGAGCUUGCCCGGCACACACGAGACACCAGAGAUCGAAGGGGAAUCAGGUAACUGGGAUGGAUCGGGAAUCCUGGAGACAGUAGCACAAUGACACAGAGGUUAGGUUUUAAAAAGUACGUAUACGUUACGUCGCGGAGCUCUUCGGAUAUGAGGCAGGCUGGGGAUGGAACCAUGAGGUCUGUUUCUGUUGGAGGCUUGACGGUGAACUGAGGCUGAGGUGAGUGUUUUAUAGUGCCUUGAUGAGAUUGUUGAUGCUGACCAGGUGAGGGUGAUUAAUACUCAGGGGAACGUGAACAUUGUGGAUUGGCUGGGACCAGGCUUGCCUGGUCCCUGACAUCAAUAAUGCGAAAUGACAGUUAAAGGCAGUUCAUCAUUGAAUUCAGUGAUGUCAUCAUGCAGCUCAGUUAAGUUUAAAUAGUAUCUGUGCAAUAAUUUGCAAUCAAGUCAACGAUAUUGCUGUAAAUGAAGUGUCCCCAACUAAGCAAGCCAGAGGUGACAGCGGCAAGGAACCAAAACUCCAUCAGUGACAGAAUGGAGAAAAAACCUUGGGAGAAACCAGGCUCAGUCGGGGGGCCAGCUCUCCUCUGACCAGACAAAACCAGCAGUUCAAUUCCAGGCUGCAGCAAAGUCAGAUUGUGCAGAAGAAUCAUCUGUUUCCUGUGGUCUUGUCCCGGUGGUCGUCUGAGACAAGGUCUUUACAGGGGAUCUGUCUCUGGGGCUCUAGUUGUCCUGGUCGCCGCUGUCUUUCAAGGCUGUAGAUGUCCUUUCUAGGUGCUGAUCCACCAUCUGGUCUGGAUACGUACUGGAUCCGGGUGACUGCAGUGACCCUCUGACUUGGAUACAGACUGGAUCUGGUGGCUACGGUGACCUCGGAAUAAGAGAGAAACAUACUAAUAUUAGCAUAGAUGCCAUUCUUCUAAUGAUGUAGCAAGUACAUCAGGUGUUAUAGGAAGUUAUCCCGGUUCUGGUUUACCUAAUUAAUGCAGCCUAAGUUGACUUUGAUAUUCUAGGUAUUACCAGAGUUUUGAGAAUGCAGCGGAUGUGGAGGAAUAUUAUGUAACAAGAGCUUGUUCAAAUACUGAGGUGCUAAACCAUUCAGGGCUUUAUAAGUAAUAAGCAAGAUGGAUGUGACUGAAUCUGUAAGGUGAAUGGUACAAUGACUCACUCAAAAAGACAUGUAGAUGCUGCAUACUGAUGUAAUGAUGUAACAAACAUGGCAAAUCAGUGAACAAAUAUUUUUAUUGAAAAGGAUAAAAAGAUUUGAGUCAUUGGGACGAAUCAAAAAUUUAAUUACUAGCUGUUACUCCCUCAGACAUAGAGAAAUAAUUCAUACAAAAAUCAGUAAUUGAGACAUUAUUUAAAAUGUCUACUUUUGUGGUCCAAGAUGAACACUGAUUUCAAACAUUAGCAAUGUUAUGCAUAGUUGUGUAAACUUAUAGUUACACAUGGUUUAUAUAAAGUUUGAAAAACAUUUAAAUCUGCCAUCAUUUUUGUUGAAGUGACUUUGACCAGAUUAUAAGUCAUAUCAGAAACAUAAUUCUAAAGAAGUUAUAAUAUUUUUUUUUUCCAUUAGUAUAAUAAUUGUGCUUGCAAGAAUUAUUAUUAUUAUUAUUUUUAUUUCAUUUAUUACUUUUCUAAAUGUCUUCAAGAGGACAUACAACUAUAUAAUUAGAAUUCAGGACACCACUAAUAACCACCAAAUAAUUAUUAGCAACUAAUUAUUUAACUAAUUUCCUUAUGUUAAGUGUGGACUAGAUUAAACUCCAAGCUAAAGUAAUUUAUUUUAUAUAUAUAUAUAUAUAUAUAUAUAUAUAUAUAUAUAUAUAUAUAUAUAUAUAUAUAUUUUUUUCAAA
ensembl:lncRNA